ensembl:lncRNA
CCUCGCCGCUCGGCAGGGCACACACAGGGCUCCGGGCCACGGGGAGCUCAGCCCCCUAGCGACAGGCAAGGGGAGCUGUGGCCGCUGCUCCGGGCCCGAAGCUCUGGCUGGCGAGGCCGUGCCGCGGUGCUGCGUCCCGCCGACCACAGCUGCGCGCCUCGAGGAGGCAAGAGCGCACAGCCUCCCAGGCCAGCCAGGCCCUACUGCAGGAGCCGGCCAGCCACAGCGUCCUCAGUCCAGUCGCCUGCGCGGUGAGGCUCUGGGGCCGCUGUGGAUCCCAAACGUGCCGCCUUUCUAAACUCCGGGCGUCCAGGUCCUGGCCCAGCGCCUCGCUGUGACCGUCCUGGAGACCCGUCUGCACAGAGGGCUCUCGGAGAGGGCCCAGGCCUCGCACUGCAGAGGGCCCGUGAGGACGCGCAGAGGAGGUGUCGCCUGCAGCCCGCGCGCGAGAGGCCUGGCCUCCUGCCCUGGCAGGGAACCAAGCGAGCCCCAAGCGGAUGCCGACGCGGGCCCAGGCCUGCGGAGCGUGCGUUGCUGUUCUGUGCGCCCCUGUGGCCACCCUCGCCGACCACGCACGCCCAAACCUUAGACGAGAAGCCAAGCCGCAGGCAGAGGAAGCCAAAGGCCACCUACCGCCUCUGCCUCCCGACUGGAUGGAGUUGCCUUUCCUGUAGCCAUCGCCGGUAGACUCCAGAGCCCUGUGGUGUUGGCACUGCCUCCUAUCUAGGGAGCAUCCCAGACCCAGCCUGGGGCUCUGACUCAGCUCUGACUCAGGCCCAGGCCUCAUGACUCCAGACUCCUUCUGCUGCUUCCUGCAUGGCUGGUCUGGAUGCACGUUCAGUGUGUGUGGAAAAUGCGGUGAUGGCCACUUGAACACACCGAGCUGAAUGUGCUAAGUGGUCAGCAGGCCAUGCAGGGCGCCCGAGGCUUCCCCCACCUGCAGCUCUGCUCCACCGGGCCCUGCCACCGUGAAGACUGCGCUGGAGCCAGUGGGCUGUGGACGGGACCCUCUGAAACUCUGCUCCUUCCUCAGGCCCCAAGCCUCAGCGGCUGUGAGGAAGGAGAGCCGUCCCCAGGAAUCUCAGCCUGAAAUCCGGCGAAGCCGCCUCUCUCCGGCUCAGAUCCUUGUCUCUGUGUCACGUUCGCUUGUUCCUUCCUCUCGGGUGUCUGCACUGUGCCUCCCAGGGAUCCAGAACAAGUGCUGUGACAGGUGUGUCCUGGCAGGCACGGGCAGCAGGCCAUGGACAGCACAGCUGUGCGCCAGCUCCCCUCUCCUCACAAUUCAAGUGUUGCGCUGGCCGUGGGGACGCACACCGGCAGUCCCAGCCCUCGGUGGGAGGCUGAGGACGUGGCAGAGCUCAGAGCCAGCCUGGACCACAUCUCACAAAACAAAACAAGAAUCCCUGUUUGGAAGCCCUAACCGCAGGACUUCAGAACGGGAGAGCACUUGGAGGUCCCGGAGGAGGACUCAGCUUGGAGCAGGUUGCGGAGAUGAGCACUAACAGGACGGUGCCCUUCAGAGGGGCGCCGGGGGCCAGGCUCACGAGGAGCCUCUGGAGGACACGUUGGGGAGCCAGGGCUCCGGGUGGAAGGGACGGGACCCGGGCCCUGUUGAUGCAGGCAGAUUCGCCGCAGUGAGUGGCGGAUGGGACCCCGG